rnacentral:pre_miRNA from 1 species
UUGCGGGGGGGCUCACAUCAUGUCUUCAUCUCAUACAUGAUGCGAGUCACCUGCAACC